UACAACCGACUUGGUACCCCCUUUCUCUUCUGCAACGGAGGAGAUAGACAAGGUAAUGCUCUUGCUUUUGGACGACUCGACUAUAGCCUGAAGUUAAAGCAGAACAUGAAAGACUAACACAGUGAGUAUUCUGUAAACGCCACCUUUUUUAUACAUAAGUGGAGGUCCUCGGCACACACAUGAAUACAUAGGACUGUAGACACACAAAGAGACACGCCAAGCUUGAGCAGUAGCCAGAUCUUGCUAGGUACAUGUUGUUUAUUUUGAAAACUGAUUGUUUAAAAAUUAAUAUAUAAUUAAUUUAAUGCUUUGUGCUCAAAACAUUGUCAAAUGUGAGAGUGCAGCCCAGCUGACCGAGUGGGUGAAGAACAACAUCUGGCCGGCAAUUCAAGUUGCAGAGUACUUGAAAUAGAACGCAAUCCAGAGGGCUCAGAGGACCAGUCAGAAUGGGGCCAAGACAGUUGAGAUAGCCCGAGAGCAUCCUCGUCUGCUGGAUAGAGCCCCACAGUGGAGGUGUCAUAAUACCUAUAAAACCUAGCGGUUAAAAAAGGAAAUGGUUCCAAUCGUUUUUCCACCAUUCCAUUUUCUGAUAGGGUAUUUUAGAAACACCUAAAAUAAGGGCUGUGUUUUGUGUGGGCUUACUCUUGCGUGACAUUUUGAUAACUAUGUAAAUCUCUCUUGGCCAAAGUGACUUAUCAAUAUAGUCUUCUCUAUUUACUCCAAUUCUAAAAUGUUAAUUAGCAUCAAAGUAGAUGUCAUGCAAGACUACAAAUCCCUGCAAGCCCCUCCACAUUUCUAUCUGACAUAUUUGCAAACCAGUAUUGUAGUUCUCUUUAUAAUAGCCACAUUAGCAGCUAAUUAGCGUUUCCUUUUUAGGGAGUAAAUAGUCACCUUGUCCUAGAGAGAUUUGUGUGAGAAAGACACAGUGGAGAGCCAAUAAGUAAAAUCACAGCUCCCUUCGUUAUUGACGCAUUGUGCCGACAACAUCAAAGAGCCAUUCCAGACUGAGGUCAGGAGGACUUAGGUGUUAGCCAAGCUAAUGACUAAUGGAAAAUAAAAUGUUUGUCUGCUUUACUACAGAUUGCCCAGGACUUUCCCGUUUUAAACCCAGACUGCUCGGGGAAACUCGCUGAGAACUGGAUUGCGGUCUUAAAGGACAAAAAAACUUUGCUUCGACAACUGAGAGAAGCAGGCCCAAGAUUUUCUCUUUGAAUUGCAGGUUGGGACCAACAUGGCGAUGACCAAAACCCUAUCCAUUUAUGUUGGCUCUUGGGGACUGCUCACAGGUGUUUACGGCCAUAAGUGGACAGGCAUUGGAGCAAGGGACAUUGCUUGGGGCACUGGAUUGUUUAGCUAAAUAUUUUUUUGCCUAUGGUACAUUUCUGAGAUCUUUUAUUUCGACUCAUGAAACCAACACUUUACAUGUUGCAUCUAUAUUUUUGUUCAGUGCUCUGGCACUGUCUGGGAGACAUACAUUUGAAGUCGUACAUUUACAUACACCUUAGCCAAAUACAUUUAAACUCAGUUUCACAAUUCCCGACAAUUCCUAGUAAAUAUUCUCUGUUUUAGGUCAGUUAGGAUCACCACUUUAUUUUAAGAAUGUGAAAUGUCAGAAUAAUAGUAGAGAGAAUGAUUUCUUUCAUUACAUUCCCAGUGGGUCAGAAGUUCACAUACACUCAAUUAGUAUUUGGUAGAAUUGCCUUCAAAUAGUUUAACUUGGGUCAAACGUUUCGGGUAGCCUUCCACAAGCAUUCCACAAUAAGUUGGGUAAAUUUUGGCCCAUUUCUCCAAACAGAGCUGGUGUAACUGAGUCAGGUUUAUAGGCCUCCUUGCUCACACACACUUUUUCAGUUCUACCCACACAUUUUCUAUAGGAUUGAGGUCAGGGCUUUGUGAUGGCCACCUUGACUUUGUUGUCCUUAAGCCAUUUUGCCACAACUUUGGAAGUAUGCUUGGGGUCAUUGUCCAUUUUGGAAGACCCAUUUGCGUCCAAGGUUUAACUUCCUGACUGAUGUCUUGAGAUGUUGCUUCAAUAUAUCCACAUAAUUGUCCUCCUCGUGAUGCCAUCUAUUUUGUGAAGUGCACCAGUCCCUCCUGCAGCAAAGCACCCCCACAACAUGAUUCUGCCACCCCUGUGCUUCCUGGUUGAGAUGGUGUUCUUCGGCAUGCAAGCCUCCCCCUUUUAUGUCCAAACAGUUCUAUUUUUGUUUCAUCAGACCAGAGGACAUUUCUCCAAAAAGUACGAUCUUUGUCCCCAUGUACCGUAGUAUGGCUUUUUUUUAUCAUGGUUUUGGAGCAGUGGCUUCGUCCUUGCUGAGGGGCCUUUCAGGCUAUGUCGAUAUAGGACUUGUUUUACUGUGGAUAUAGAUAGUUUUGUAUUGUUUCUUCCAGCAUCUUCACAAGGUCCUUUGCUGUUGUUCUGGGAUUUAUUGACACUUUUCGCACCAAAGUACAUUAAUCUCUAGGAGACAGGACGCGUCUCCUUCCUGAGAGGUAUGACGGCUGCAUGGUCCCAUGGUAUUUAUACUUGCGUACUAUUGUUUGUACAGAUGAACGUGGUACCUUCAGGCGUUUAGAAAUUGCUCCCAAGGAUGAACCAGACUUGUGGAGGUAUACCGAUUUCUUGACUCAAUUGAUGUCAUUUAGCCUUUCAGAAGCUUCUAAAGCCAUGACAUCAUUAUCUGGAAUUUUCCAAGCUAUUUAAAAGCACAGUCAACUUAGUGUAUGUAAACUUCUGACCAACUGGAAUUGUGAUACUGUGAAUUAUAAGUGAAAUAAUCUGUCUGUAAACAAUUGUUGGCAAAAUUACUAGAUGUCCGAACCGACUUGCCAAAACUAUAGUUUUUUAACAUGAAAUUUGUGGAGUGGUUGAAAAACGAGUUAAUGACUCCAACCUAAGUGUAUGUAAACUUCCGACUUCAACUGUAAAUAAGCAUGUUUAAUUUUGUCUGGCUUAGCAUUCCAAAUAAAAUAACCUUUUUCUCUCAUAUGAUUUAAAAAAGUAAAUGUGAUGUUUCCAUAAAUAGACAAGUAUUUAGCUCUCCAUGGUUGCAGAAUCUUAUCUAUUUUUGCUAACUUUCUAUUGAAAUUGAUUGUGGUAAGUUAAUUUAUGUUUUUUGAGCUAUGAAUACUAAGUAAGUAUGUCUACUUCACCAUCCGCCCAUUUUAUUGGUAAACUACAAGGUCGUGUAAACACUCUUUUAAUGAUUCAAUACGUAAUAUGGUACACUUUUAAUAAUUGGGUUUUAGUCCAGAGAGGCUAGAAAAGUGAUCAAGAUCUUCAAUAAGGAUGUGCAGGGAUCCAGAUUACGGACUUUAGAUCCAACAAGAACAUCCAAGGGUUAGAAAUCCAGGGGAUAAAAACAAUAGUGUCAAUGUAUGCCGAUGACUCAAGUUUUUUCUUAUUUAAUAGAUAGCUAUGAAUGGCCAUAAUAAAUAGAUAUGGAGACAACGGACAGCCUUGUUUUACUCCUCUGUAAAAGCUCAAUACGUUCUGACAAGUAACCAUUAUUUACUGUUUUACACCUGGGGUUGUUGUACAUAACUUUAACUCAUUGUGUAAGAGAUUCACCGAAAUUAAAGUAAUCCAGGCAUUUAUAUAGAAAUUAGAGUCGUACUUUAUCAAACGCCUUUUCAAAAUCUGCUAUGAAGACCAGGCCUGGUGUCUUUUGAUGUUUCAUAAUGUUCAAUUGUUUCAAGUAAUUGUUGUCCAUUAUCUGCAAUAUAAACAACAUCUGGUAAAACCUU